GGGGGGGGGAGGAGGCCAGAACAAAUACACUCAGACCGUCAUGGGCUACGGGAUCACCUGGUUGCCGAACAUUGUAACACUGACCUUUCUACACAACCUGAAACGUCACCCAUUCCUUCUCUCCAGAGAUGCUGCCUGUCC